AAGCAAGAGAGUCUCCAGGGUGAGUCUACUAUCAAGACAGAGUCUUCCAUAUAGUGAGAUGAGGAAAUUGAGAAUUGGAGAUGCAAGAUGAACAAUCCAUGUUUAUGGCAAGAAAAUGUCAGUGACACAAACCCAGAUAUUUUUUUCUCCAUGUUCUCAAGCUACUAAUCCUGCUUUCCAUAAACUGAAGAAUGUAUGAGUGACCUUAACUUCUGUGGCCUGAAUCUCGGCUAGUAAUCUUUAUCCACCAGCUCUACUUUGUAAUUCUCCUUUGUUAUUUAUUUUAAAUGUUUGAAUCAUUUUCAGUUCUUGGUUCUGUUAUGAACUAGAUCAUUGUUAUAUACAGAUAAACUGUGAAUGCAUAUGUUUGGUGACAUUCAUUAACUAGUCAUUUGGAGAGCAGCAGAAUGGCCUGGGGAUUAAAACAAAUAAAACAUUCACAUAGUGAUGCAUUUACAAUUCUUUGGGCUUAGUGAAUCUUGAAAUUUUAAGAGUCAUUGCAUUUUUACAUCUUAAUUAAAUUCAUACUGUGGAAUGUAUAAAUAGAAAAAGAAUUCUUCAGGCUAAAAUAUUCUUUUACUCAUCAAAUGCUGCAGAUGGUCUUUUUAUACCCUGUGAGUGGACCUUUUUGAAGAUGUCCUGCAUUCGAGUUUUUAAGGUUGGCGAUAGGUUGCCUUGACAUUUAUCCAAACCAUAGUUGAAGAACAAUUAUCUCCUUAUUUUGUAACAGUGACGUUCGACUCUGCUAAACCCUCUCAAAGGGGAUAGGUUUAAGACUGUAAUGUGUGAAGAUAAAAAAUGUCAACUGUCAUGCAGGAACUCAAACAGAGCAACCGAGGGGAAGUAACUAAUCUAAGGAAGAGCAUUUUCUUGGCCACUGUAUUUUCCUUUCUGUUAUUCAUGCAAAAAUAUGUCUCAUCGAUUUAACUCAUUCCAUAUUUUAAUGAAUAAUUAAUUGGCUUCAUAUAAUAAUAUAUUCUGUUAUCUACAUUAAUUUGAUAUAACGUGACAAGAAUAGCUUUAGAAUUGAUAACAUUUUUCUAAAUAUUUUACUCAUGUUUUUUCUCUGCCUUGGUGUGACUGGCUAUGAUCACACCUGUUGUUCCCUCAUAUGCAUUCAUUUAAGCAGAAUAAGAUAAGUUGCUCAAUUUUAUGCUUUAUAGAAAUUGUUUUACUUGCAUAAAAUAAAAUGUUACACUAUACCCUGGGACUAUUGGGGAUUUAAAAAUGCAGAUGCAGAUGUACAAAUGUAUAAAGUUUCUCAUAUGUGAGCAUUCUUUGGUUACAAAGUAAUUCACUCUAGGUUCCAUUAAAGAAUUAAAGAUAACGCUUUUUCUGUGUAGAGUUAAUAUUUUUGCAAACUAAACAUUACAGGUCAAACCCAAAGAAUGUGUAAAAGUAAAAAUAUUCAUUGUAAAGAAUUGCAAAUUAUUCAUUGCAAGUAUUUACUGUGAAUAAUUUCACUUUUAUUACAAUGAAAAUAUUCAUUGCAAAGCUAUGGAAUGCCUUUAGGAGCCAGAUAUAAUAGAAGGGUAGUGAAGUUAGGGCCAGAAAAUAUGGGUUACUAUUUUUUCCAUUUACUAAAUGUAGGAACCCGGAUUUCCUCUGCAGUGUGCAUUCUAAAGGCAUCUUGCAAAUUUUAAUAGGAUUAAUGAGACAAUUUAUUCAUAAACCCUUUGUGAAAUAUAAGAACAUCUAAAGGAAAUUAAAUAUAUGCUUUUUGUAUAGUAAGUAUCAUUAUUAAGAAUAACACUCCAAAUGAAUACUUAUUUGAAGUUUCUUAUAUUUGCUGAGUUGAUAUUACGUUUAUUACUGAAUGUACACUGUAGAUCUGACUUCUUUUUCAAGAGAACAAAUUUAUGUCUAGCCUCAGAAUUGUUAUUUUGUUUACAUAGCUUAUUUAACCUUAUGAUGCUAUAAGCAUUAUACUUAUUCAUAUUAUUCUCUUUGCAUUGGUAUCAAAGUAUCCUGGAGUCACAUUCCCUAUUCACCUCUAGCCAGCCUACACUGUCUGGCAUGAGUCUUGUAUACUUCUAUCUUGGCCUUAUUGAGUUUGUCUUGGUACUAGUACUUGUAAAUUUUUUUCUCAUUAGUGGUUUUUUUUUGUUUUUCUUUUAAAAUAAUUAUAAAUUCAAUGGAAGAUCCAAAAAUAGAAGAGAAGUCCCACGUACCCUUCACAUUUCCCCAAAUGGUAAUAUCUAACCUAACUGCAAUACAGUACUAAAACCAGAAAAAAUUUUCAUUGGUACAAUACUCAGACCUUAUUCAGAUUUUAUCAGUUUUACAUGCACUCUAUUUUUUUCAUAUGUAUAGUUUUAUACACGUCAAUUAAAUAUGUAGAAUUAUGUAACUACCACUAAUAUUAAAAUAUGAACCUAUUUAGUUGCCACAAAAAUUUCCCUCAAACUACCUUUUCAGAAUUACAGCUCUUCUUCCCCUCUUUCGACACUAAUCUGAUUGUCUUCCUUACAGUUUUAUUAUUUUGAAAAUGCUAUGUAAGUUAAAUCAUACAGUAUAUAAUGUGUUGAAGUUGACACUUUUCCUCAAAAUAAUUUCCUUAAGAUUCAUCUAUGUUUUCUGAGUAUGUUAAUCGUUCAUUCAUUUUUAUUUUUAUUACUGAGUAGUAUUCCAUGGCAUGGGUGCACCACAGUUUGAAAGAUAUUAGGGUUAUUUGCAAUUUUGGGUUAUUUCAACUAAAACUGCUAUAAGUGCUUGUGUGUACAUUUUGGUGCAGAUAUAAGUUUCAUUGCUCUGGGACAAAUGUCUAGGAAUGGGACUGUUAGGAUGCAUCAUCAGUAUAUAGUUUUUCAAGAAAAUUUCCAAAGCUAGGCUCUGGAAUGAACCUGUAUGGUCAGCCAUUGGAAAUGUGAGAAGAUCACUUGAGCCCAAUAGUUUGAGUUUAGCAUAGAAAACAUAGCAAGACCCUACCUCCUAAAAAAAGAAAGAAAGAAAAAAAAAAGGAAAUGAAAAUUCCCAAGUUAUUUUCCAGUGUGGCUGUGCCAUUUAUAUUCCCACCAGCAAUUUCUGAGUAAUUCGGUUUUUCCAUAUUCUCACCAGAUUCGGUAUUGUCACAAGUUUUUUUCUUAACUAAUCUAAUAUUUGUGUUGUAAUAUCUCAUUGUGGUGGUUUUUUUUUAACUCUUUUUUUUGGAUUUUUUUUUAUUAUUAUACUUCAAGUUUUAGGGUGCAUGUGCACAAUGUGCAGGUUUGUUACAUAUGUAUACAUGUGCCAUGUUGGUGUGCUGCACCGAUUAACUCAUCGUUUAGCAUUAGGUAUAUCUCCUAAUGCUAUCCCUCCCCCCUCCUCCC
rnacentral:lncRNA from 10 species